rnacentral:lncRNA from 1 species
CCUGGAGAAGAUUGGAGGAAUUCCUGGAGGAAUGUUGCAUCCCUGAAGGAGGAGAAUCUAAGAUGCAGAACCGAGGAAGAUAAAGAUGGAGCUGUGUAUGCAGAAGAGAUUAAGACUACGUGGAACCAGUGCCUGACAAUUCACAGAGCAUUUCCUGGGCCUCUUGUCCAGACAGAAGGGACUUAAGAACUGCCAGGCCAUAUCUCAGAUUCCAUAAAUUCUUGAUCCUUCAGAAGAAGGUAAAAAAAAAUUCUCUACUGAAAUCCUACAAAAAUGUAAUCCAGAGU